GUGUCAGCAGCCGCGGUAAUACGGAGGGGGCAAGCGUUGUUCGGAAUUAUUGGGCGUAAAGGGCGCGUAGGCGGCCGAUCAAGUCGGGUGUGAAAUCCCUCGGCUCAACCGAGGAACUGCACCCGAUACUGCUUGGCUAGAGUCCGGGAGGGGAUGGCGGAAUUCCCAGUGUAGCGGUGAAAUGCGUAGAUAUUGGGAAGAACACCGGUGGCGAAGGCGGCCAUCUGGACCGGUACUGACGCUGAGGCGCGAAAGCCAGGGGAGCGAAUGGGAUUAGAAACCCCAGUAGUCC
rnacentral:rRNA from 1 species